GGGAGUGGAUGGUGUCCGGUGGUGCCCGCGGUCUUCAAAACCGUUGUGGGGCCGCGUCGCGGUCCUGGGUGGGUUCGACUCCCACGCACUCCCGCCA
rnacentral:tRNA from 1 species